rnacentral:tRNA from 1 species
GUUUUAGUAGUUUAAUACAAAAACUUUGGUCUUGUAAACCAAAAAUAAGAUUUUCUUCUAAAACU